rnacentral:rRNA from 1 species
UUCCGGUUGAUCCUGCCGGAGGCCACUGCUAUUGGGAUCCGACUAAGCCAUGCGAGUCGAGAGGGUUCGGCCCUCGGCAGACUGCUCAGUAACACGUAGAUAACCUAACCUUAGGUGGAAGAUAACCUCGGGAGACUGAGAAUAAUAUUCCAUAGAUCUAGGAUGCUGGAAUGCAUCUAGAUUGAAAGUUCCGACGCCUAAGGAUGGGUCUGCGGACUAUCAGGUUGUAGUCAGGGUAAAGACCUGACUAGCCUACGACGGAUAUGGGUUGUGAGAGCAAUAGCCCAGAGACGAUAUCUGAGACACGAUAUCGGGCCCUACGGGGCGCAGCAGGCGCGAAAUCUUCACAAUGUGCGAAAGCACGAUGAGGGGAUCCCAAGUGCUGGCACGUAAGUGUCAGCUGUUUCUUAGUCUAAAAAACUGAGAGAGUAAGGGCUGGGUAAGACGGGUGCCAGCCGCCGCGGUAAUACCUGCAGCUCAAGUGGUGGCCGCUAUUAUUGGGCCUAAAACGUCCGUAGCCUGUUUAGUAAAUGCUUGGGUAAAUUGUGUAGCUUAACUAUACGAAUACCGGGUAGACUGCUAAACUUGCGACCGGGAGAGGCUAGAGGUACUCCUGAGAUAGAGGUGAUAUUCUGUAGUCCUAGGGGGACCACCAGUGGCGAAGGCGUCUAGCUAGAUCGGGUCUGACGGUGAUGGACGAAGCCCUGGGGCGCAAACCGGAUUAGAUACCCGGGUAGUCCAGCGUGUAAACGCUGCUUGCUUGAUGUUAGUUGGGCUCCGAGCCCAACUAGUGUCUGAGACAAGUUGUUAAGCUAGCUGCCUGUGAAGUACGGUCGCGACGACUGAAACUUACAUCACUAGUCGGAGGAGCUACAGCAGCGGCUGUAGCGUGCGCUUAUGGACUCACGCGGGA